rnacentral:rRNA from 1 species
UACGGAGGGUGCGAGCGUUGUCCGGAAUCACUGGGCGUAAAGGGCGCGUAGGCGGCAUGCCAAGCGUGUGGUGAAAGCCCGGGGCUCAACCCCGGGUCGGCCGUGCGGACUGGCGUGCUCGAGCACUGUAGGGGCGGGUGGAAUUCCGGGUGUAGCGGUGGAAUGCGUAGAUAUCAGGAGGAAUACCGAUGGCGAAGGCAGGUCUCUGGGCUGAUACUGACGCUGAGGAGCGAAAGCGUGGGGAGCGAACAGG